GAUGAACGCUAGCGGAAGGCUUAAUACAUGCAAGUCGAGCGGUAGGUGGCUUCGGCCAUUGAGAGCGGCGCACGGGUGAGUAACGCGUACAUGACCUGCCUGUCAGAAGGGGAUAGCCCUGGGAAACUGGGAUUAAUACCCUAUGGUAUUGAUAUUAUGAAUGAUAUCAAUUAAAGUUGAGGCGCUGACAGAUGGAUGUGCGUCUGAUUAGCUAGUUGGUAGGGUAACGGCCUACCAAGGCGACGAUCAGUAGGGGGCGUGAGAGCGUGGUCCCCCACACGGGUACUGAGACACGGACCCGACUCCUACGGGAGGCAGCAGUAAGGAAUAUUGGUCAAUGCCCGCAAGGGUGAACCAGCCAUUCCGCGUGGAGGAUGGAGGCCCUAUGGGUUGUAAACUUCUUUUAGAUGGGAAGAAAAUGCUAGAUGUAUCUGGUACUGACGGUACCAUCAGAAUAAGCACCGGCUAACUCCGUGCCAGCAGCCGCGGUAAU
rnacentral:rRNA from 1 species